CUUUUUCGCCCCGCCCUUCAAAUGCGAAAGCGACUGCCUUCUUGGUCCAAGCACAAAUGUGGAUCACUGAACACAGUACUGGAAGCGCCAUUUGCAGGAUAUGGUUUUCGAUUACUAAGUAUUCGAAAUCCUCAUACCAGCAACAGAAAUGAACCACUUCCAAAUUCUAAGACACAAAAGACCAAAGAGAAGCAAAAGCGAUACAAAUUAAUAUGUGCCCCUCUCCUUUCUGCUCUAAGGGAAUCUACAAACCAGUAUCACAUUUAGGAGUCAAAGUGUUAAUUCUUCAGCAUUCCUGACAACUAGAAAGCACAUUCACUGAAGGCUGAAGGUGAGGGAGUGGAUGGUUUAACUUUAAUAUCUGAAGAAUGGCGCCAAUAGAGGAAAGAAAACCAUCCAAUCUCAGUAAGGAUUAAUGCAAAUCUGGCUAGAAAAAGCCACCAGGUAAUCCAAGGGUUCACUGUGGAAGAACUCAUGAAAAGUACUCUGAAGUAUACACAACAGGUCUAAACAUCUCCCUUGUCGUAAGUAGUUGUGUAAAAUUCAAGAUAAAGAUUUAGUCUCAUCUUUUAAUGUCAGUUUUUUCCCCCAUGUUAAAGGGAAUGAGGAGGAGUCCUCUUUUAUUCCCCCACAAGAAAAAGGGAGCCACAUUAAUAUGUGUAUAUUCCCAUAACUCUAAUGUAAGUGCGGAUCUCCAAAGCCUAGGGAUUUUUCCGUAAAAGAGAGUGGGCCGUUCUGGUUACCCUUUUAUUAGAAGGGUAUUCCACCACAGAGAGCCGGAGGUUUUCCAGAUGUGUGUAAGAGAGCAGGUGCGCAAGGCAAGCAAAUGAGCGCAAACAGUAUUAUGGAAAACAUUUGAGAAGUUAGCUCCAUGAGGACUGUGGGCUCCACAAGAGGACUCGACUGGGUAGCCUGGUCUGACACAGGUACGUGAAAGCAGAGUAUUGCUUCAAAGCUGGAAACCUUCCAUAGGAGCCUCACACUGUUGGAAGAUGUACUGCUGCUGGUUAAGGUCAACCUGGGGUGCAAUGCUGCUGUCUUCAUCUUCGGUCCCGAAGUAAUGCUCAAUAAGAUCAAAGGCCUUUUGGUAGAUCUCCUGGUUUUCAUGACUCUGUAAGAACUCAAUUUUAUCCAGACCUAAAAUGAAGAAUAAAGGAAAAUCUUUAUUGAAAACUUCAAUAAAUAUUGGAAAUUCCAUAACUAUAUAUUCCUAAA
rnacentral:lncRNA from 1 species